AGUGAACGCUGGCGGUAGGCCUAACACAUGCAAGUCGAACGGCAGCACAGUAAGAGCUUGCUCUUACGGGUGGCGAGUGGCGGACGGGUGAGGAAUACACCGGAAUCUACUUUUUCGUGGGGGAUAACGUAGGGAAACUUACGCUAAUACCGCAUACGACCUACGGGUGAAAGCAGGGGAUCUUCGGACCUUGCGCGAUUGAAUGAGCCGAUGUCGGAUUAGCUAGUUGGCGGGGUAAAGGCCCACCAAGGUGACGAUCCGUAGCUGGUCUGAGAGGAUGAUCAGCCACACUGGAACUGAGACACGGUCCAGACUCCUACGGGAGGCAGCAGUGGGGAAUAUUGGACAAUGGGCGCAAGCCUGAUCCAGCCAUACCGCGUGGGUGAAGAAGGCCUUCGGGUUGUAAAGCCCUUUUGUUGGGAAAGAAAAGCAGCAGGUUAAUACCCCGCUGUUCUGACGGUACCCAAAGAAUAAGCACCGGCUAACUUCGUG
rnacentral:rRNA from 1 species